rnacentral:rRNA from 1 species
GACGAACGCUGGCGGCGUGCUUAACACAUGCAAGUCGAACGGAAAGGCCUGCUUUCCCUUGUGGAUUGCGGGUACUCGAGUGGCGAACGGGUGAGUAACACGUGAGUGAUCUGCCCCCAACUUGGGUAUAAGCCUGGGAAACUGGGUCUAAUUCCCGAUAGGACUGCAGGGUGGUGCCUGUGGUGGAAAACGAUUUUCUAGUGGUUGGGGAUGAGCUCGCGGCCUAUCAGCUUGUUGGUGGGGUAAUGGCCUACCAAGGCGGCGACGGGUAGCCGGCCUGAGAGGGUGGACGGCCACAUUGAGACUGAGAUACGGCCCAGACUCCUACGGGAGGCAGCAGUGGGGAAUAUUGCACAAUGGGCGGAAGCCUGAUGCAGCGACGCCGCGUGGAGGAUGACGGCCUUCGGGUUGUAAACUCCUUUCGACCGCGAGGAAGCCACCUGGUUGGAAGGGUGGUGACGGUAGUGGUAGAAGAAGCACCGGCUAACUACGUG